rnacentral:tRNA from 1 species
GGUUAUGGCUCAGUGGUAGAGCACUGGCCUUGCACGUGCGAUCCCGAGUUCGAUCCUCAGCACCA